rnacentral:rRNA from 1 species
AUUGAACGCUGGCGGCAGGCCUAACACAUGCAAGUCGAGCGGAUGAAGGGAGCUUGCUCCUGGAUUCAGCGGCGGACGGGUGAGUAAUGCCUAGGAAUCUGCCUGGUAGUGGGGGAUAACGUCCGGAAACGGGCGCUAAUACCGCAUACGUCCUGAGGGAGAAAGUGGGGGAUCUUCGGACCUCACGCUAUCAGAUGAGCCUAGGUCGGAUUAGCUAGUUGGUGGGGUAAAGGCCUACCAAGGCGACGAUCCGUAACUGGUCUGAGAGGAUGGUCAGUCACACUGGAACUGAGACACGGUCCAGACUCCUACGGGAGGCAGCAGUGGGGAAUAUUGGACAAUGGGCGAAAGCCUGAUCCAGCCAUGCCGCGUGUGUGAAGAAGGUCUUCGGAUUGUAAAGCACUUUAAGUUGGGAGGAAGGGCAGUAAGUUAAUACCUUGCUGUUUUGACGUUACCAACAGAAUAGGCACCGGCUAACUUCGUG